AUUGAACGCUGGCGGCAGGCCUAACACAUGCAAGUCGAGCGGAGCGGCGGACGGGUGAGUAAUGCCUAGGAAUCUGCCUGGUAGUGGGGGAUAACGUCCGGAAACGGGCGCUAAUACCGCAUACUAUCAGAUGAGCCUAGGUCGGAUUAGCUAGUUGGUGGGGUAAAGGCCUAGCAAGGCGACGAUCCGUAACUGGUCUGAGAGGAUGAUCAGUCACAGUGGAACUGAGACACGGUCCAGAUUCCGACGGGAGGCAGCAUUGGGGAUUAUGGAACAAUGGGCGAAAUCCUGAUCCAGCCAUGCCGCGUGUGUGAAGAAGGUCUUCGUAUUGUAAAGCUCUUUAAGUUGGGAGGCGUUACCAUCAGAAUAAGCAUCGGCUAACUUCGUGCCAGCAGCCGCGGUAAUUC
rnacentral:rRNA from 1 species